UUUUCCCAUUAGCUUUACUAACCCCCUCUUAUUCAAGGUAUGGGUAUAUUUUCUUAUAUGUUUAUUGAAGUACCCAUACCGUAUCCGUAUCUAUAAAUUUUUACUUCACCGUUUUCCGUCCCCGUUUCCGUACCCGAUUCCUGUUCCCGUACCCGUUUCAGUGCAACCUAGUAGAAGAUUGAAACU